rnacentral:rRNA from 1 species
UAGGGAAUCUUCGGCAAUGGACGGAAGUCUGACCGAGCAACGCCGCGUGAGUGAAGAAGGUUUUCGGAUCGUAAAGCUCUGUUGUUAGAGAAGAACGUUGGAAGGAGUGGAAAAUCUACCAAGUGACGGUAACUAACCAGAAAGGGACGGCUAACUACGUGCCAGCAGCCGCGGUAAUACGUAGGUCCCGAGCGUUGUCCGGAUUUAUUGGGCGUAAAGCGAGCGCAGGCGGUUCUUUAAGUCUGAAGUUAAAGGCAGUGGCUUAACCAUUGUACGCUUUGGAAACUGGAGGACUUGAGUGCAGAAGGGGAGAGUGGAAUUCCAUGUGUAGCGGUGAAAUGCGUAGAUAUAUGGAGGAACACCGGUGGCGAAAGCGGCUCUCUGGUCUGUAACUGACGCUGAGGCUCGAAAGCGUGGGGAGCAAACAGG